AUAGGUCUGAAAGAAAAAGAAGAAAAAAUGGGCCCAUAAUAAGAUUUUAACUUUUUAGAUUUGUGAGGACCUAAAAAAAAAAAAAACGUUGUUGCAAGCAAACUUCAUUUAGAAAGCUAUUACGGUGAUUUCUGAGUAUUGACACUAUGAGCUAAGUGUCAGUACUCAGCAUUCAAGUCCUCAGCUUUCAUGGCUGUCAUUUGUGCAUCAUAGCAGGGCUGACCUCUCUCAUUCCCAAAAGCGUCUGUUGUGCAAAGCUCCAGGGAGGGGCAAUUCUGUUCAAUAAUACACAUCAGUGCCUAUCUAAUGUAUUGAUUUUCAUAAAUCAGUACCUCACUUGCCGCUUGCUGACUAAGAUCUGUGCCCUUCAGGGACAGGCUUGUCAGCAGAAGGGUAAAUCCAGUUAAUAACUAGUUCUGUCUUCCUCCUACAGCCCACCCACUGUGUUGUUUCUCAGAAAUCCUAUGAAUUAAUACCCUGAAUAAUAUUCUGGCCACAGAACCACAAACGGUAAAUGAAGGUUGAUGGAACAGCACUGAAACCUGCAUUGAGCGCUACUGGCCUGCCUUUACAUUACUGAUUACUGCAAGCAUACUUUACUUUACAUCACAGCUCUAAAGCAUGCUGCAGAAAACAUUGGAAGAAUCUCUUGAAUCCCAAGUCUACAGAACUCAGAAGUAAGGAAGAAGCACAAUCUUACAGACAACUUUUGAAUCCAAUCAUGCAUUGUCCAGAUGUACCAAGAAAUAACUAUCCAAUGACUGAAGUCUUUCCUACCAUAACCCCUAAGGUUCCAGAUUAUCAGUUUCUCAUUGAGAUGCAAGUGUACUGAUGAAGAAUUAUCCAGAAGACCCAAGUUAAGAGUGAUAAUACAAUACCAUCUGAAAAUGAUUUACAGAAGGAAGAAGGAAAAAUCCAUGAUGACAUGAAGACUACAGCAAAUGUACACUUGAUUGUCCUGUUCCACUGAAAUCCAAGGAGACAAGGCAGAAUCUGAAAAGGGGAGUCCCAUCAGGAAAAACCGAGAACACUGAAGACAACAGAAAACUCCUGUAAAGAUUUGCUCUGUGUUAUCCACUUCAAGCUUUCAGAUUUUUGUAGUUUUUCUUUAGAGCCAAUAUAAAUUACAUGUGGAAAAAUACUUCAAAAUAUUUAUUAUAUUUAUGCUUGCUCUGUGUCAUCAUUUUUCAUCUAUCCAGGUUCUUUGCACACAGGUAGCAUCUCAUGAUUGCUGUUUGACCACAGAGCUGCUAUAGAUGUUACUCAGCUCAACAUCACGCUUCUUAACUAUCAAUUGCCAACUCAGCCCACAGCCAUGGUCGUUUCUUUCCCCACUUACCAACUGGCUCACUUUUGUUUCUUAGACAGAAUAAAUUAUUAGGGCUCACUAUGA